UUUGUGUGUUAGUGGAAGCGUCUGGAAAGUCGCACGGUACAGGGUGAUAGUCCCGUACACAAAAAUGCACAUGCUGUGAACUCGAUGAGUAGGGCGGGACACGUGACAUCCUGUCUGAAUAUGGGGGGACCAUCCUCCAAGGCUAAAUACUCCUGACUGACCGAUAGUGAACCAGUACCGUGAGGGAAAGGCGAAAAGAACCCCGGCGAGGGGAGUGAAAUAGAACCUGAAACCGUGUACGUACAAGCAG
rnacentral:rRNA from 1 species